rnacentral:rRNA from 1 species
AGAGUUUGAUCCUGGCUCAGGAUGAACGCUGGCGGCGUGCUUAACACAUGCAAGUCGAGCGAGAAAAGUUCUUCGGAGCUUUUCUAGCGGCGGACGGGUGAGUAACACGUGGGCAACCUGCCUCAUAGAGGGGAAUAGCCUUCCGAAAGGAAGAUUAAUACCGCAUAAUAUUGUUGAAAGGCAUCUUUUAACAAUCAAAGGAGCAAUCCGCUAUGAGAUGGGCCCGCGGCGCAUUAGCUAGUUGGUGAGGUAACGGCUCACCAAGGCGACGAUGCGUAGCCGACCUGAGAGGGUGAUCGGCCACAUUGGAACUGAGACACGGUCCAGACUCCUACGGGAGGCAGCAGUGGGGAAUAUUGCACAAUGGGGGAAACCCUGAUGCAGCAACGCCGCGUGAGUGAUGAAGGUCUUCGGAUUGUAAAGCUCUGUCUUUAGGGACGAUAAUGACGGUACCUAAGGAGGAAGCCACGGCUAACUACGUGCCAGCAGCCGCGGUAAUACGUAGGUGACAAGCGUUAUCCGGAUUUACUGGGCGUAAAGGGAGCGUAGGCGGAUAUUUAAGUGGGAUGUGAAAUACCCGAGCUUAACUUGGGAGCUGCAUUCCAAACUGGAUAUCUAGAGUGCAGGAGAGGAGAAUGGAAUUCCUAGUGUAGCGGUGAAAUGCGUAGAGAUUAGGAAGAACACCAGUGGCGAAGGCGAUUCUCUGGACUGUAACUGACGCUGAGGCUCGAAAGCGUGGGGAGCAAACAGGAUUAGAUACCCUGGUAGUCCACGCCGUAAACGAUGAAAUACUAAGGUGGUAGGGGGCCCUAAGCCCUCUGUGCC